rnacentral:misc_RNA from 1 species
GAUGAAGAACGUAGCGAAAUGCGAUAAGUAAUGUGAAUUGCAGAAUUCAGUGAAUCAUCGAAUCUUUGAACGCACAUUGCGCCCCCUGGUAUUCCGGGGGGCAUGCCUGUCCGAGCGUCAUUACAACCCUCAAGCUCAGCUUGGUAUUGGGCCCCGCCGACCCGGCGGGCCCUAAAGUCAGUGGCGGUGCCGUCCGGCUCCGAGCGUAGUAAUUCUUCUCGCUCUGGAGGUCCGGUCGUGUGCUCGCCAGCAACCCCCAAUUUUUUUCAGGUUGACCUCGGAUCAGGUAGGGAUACCCGCUGAGCUUAAGCAUAUCAAUAAGCGGAGGA